CCCAGAACAGGGAAUGGCCUAUAGAUGUUUUGGCUGUGUUUUGGGCUGUUGCCCUCUGAAGAACUUGAGCUCAGUUCUCUCAGGGCAGUAGGGAGGGGCGGCUCCCUAACCACCCCUAACUGACCUCUAACUACCCCAGAGCUUGGCUGAUGUGGAACUUGUCCUGCCUUCCUGGCACUGACCUUUCAGACCAGCACACUGUUUAGAGCCCAAAGCAGGAGCCUGAGUGGACAAUGGGCACUGUCUCCAAGAAUUCCACUCUGACAAUGGGGCACAUCUGGAGUUACAUCUGGAGUCAGGGCUGGGCUCUCCCUAAUGCUCCACCACAUCUACUGAGAAGAUCAGAAGCUUGACCCACCUUCGUCUUCUGCUGCACCUUCAACAUACGCAUGACCCCUCCCCAACUUCUGAAGACCGGGGUCUGCACACAGUGGCCAAGGAGAACUAUACAUUCAUUCUGCAAUCAGG